GCCCCUCUCGUCUAAUGGUUAUGACGCCAGACUUCUAAAUUUUCCCACGCUAUCUGGAGGCUGCGAGUUCGAGUCUCGCGAGGGGUU